AUUGAACGCUGGCGGCAGGCCUAACACAUGCAAGUCGAGCGGUAGAGAGGAGCUUGCUUCUCUUGAGAGCGGCGGACGGGUGAGUAAUGCCUAGGAAUCUGCCUGGUAGUGGGGGAUAACGUUCGGAAACGGACGCUAAUACCGCAUACGUCCUACGGGAGAAAGUGGGGGAUCUUCGGACCUCACGCUAUCAGAUGAGCCUAGGUCGGAUUAGCUAGUUGGUGAGGUAAAGGCUCACCAAGGCGACGAUCCGUAACUGGUCUGAGAGGAUGAUCAGUCACGCUGGAACUGAGACACGGUCCAGACUCCUACGGGAGGCAGCAGUGGGGAAUAUUGGACAAUGGGCGCAAGCCUGAUCCAGCCAUGCCGCGUGUGUGAAGAAGGUCUUCGGAUUGUAAAGCACUUUAAGUUGGGAGGAAGGUCAGUAGCUUAAUACGUUGCUGAUUUGACGUUACCGACAGAAUAAGCACCGGCUAACUCUGUGCCAGCAGCCCUGUAACAC
rnacentral:rRNA from 1 species